ensembl:snoRNA small nucleolar RNA, H/ACA box 26
CUGCCCGACUCCCUAUACAGUGUUUUCAGAGAUGAACACAGGAGGGUGAAGUAAGUCUUCCUAAAACCAAAGUUCCAAAGAAGAGAUUGCAAAACUCUUCUUUGGAACUUGUCUGGAGUCAUAGCU